UGCAGUCGAGCGGAAACGAUGAUAGCUUGCUAUCAGGCGUCGAGCGGCGGACGGGUGAGUAAUACUUAGGAAUCUACCUAGUAGUGGGGGAUAGCUCGGGGAAACUCGAAUUAAUACCGCAUACGACCUACGGGAGAAAGGGGGCAACUUGUUGCUCUCGCUAUUAGAUGAGCCUAAGUCGGAUUAGCUAGAUGGUGGGGUAAAGGCCUACCAUGGCGACGAUCUGUAGCUGGUCUGAGAGGAUGAUCAGCCACACCGGGACUGAGACACGGCCCGGACUCCUACGGGAGGCAGCAGUGGGGAAUAUUGGACAAUGGGGGCAACCCUGAUCCAGCCAUGCCGCGUGUGUGAAGAAGGCCUUUUGGUUGUAAAGCACUUUAAGCAGUGAAGAAGACUCCAUGGUUAAUACCCAUGGACGAUGACAUUAGCUGCAGAAUAAGCACCGGCUAACUCUGUGCCAGCAGCCGCGGUAAUACAGAGGGUGCAAGCGUUAAUCGGAAUUACUGGGCGUAAAGCGAGCGUAGGUGGCUUGAUAAGUCAGAUGUGAAAUCCCCGGGCUUAACCUGGGAACUGCAUCUGAUACUGUUAGGCUAGAAUAGGUGAGAGGAAGGUAGAAUUCCAGGUGUAGCGGUGAAAUGCGUAGAGAUCUGGAGGAAUACCGAUGG
rnacentral:rRNA from 1 species